rnacentral:lncRNA from 1 species
AUAUAUCGAGCCUGAAAUAGCUUAUGACUGUUAGACACAAUUUAAUUGGAAUAUGUGUCAUGGAUUAUGGCUAGGUGGUGAGCCAUUGCAUACGGGUAAAGGACUGUACCUGCGGACUGAAAAUAGGAGUAUUUUUACUCCUAAUACCGGUGAGUGGACUUGCAUUUCAAACUUGUUUUGGGGAAUAUGAAAGAUUCUAUCCAACUUGUCUUAGAAAAUGUACCUUGGGAACAAGCUUUUAGUAAAAUGAUUUUAUAUUGUGAAAAUGUGCUAUACAAUGGUUUAUGUGUUAUCACAAUAUGAUAAAAUGCAUGAUAUGCAUUGGAUGCUUCUUUACAUGUUGAUUUUGACCCGGCUAUGUGCGAGUAGGAGUGCACAUAAGCCGUUGCUGACCCGGCUAUGUGUGAGUGGGAGUGCACAUAAGCC